rnacentral:lncRNA from 1 species
CCCAUCAGUUUCCAGGCUAUAGCUGCACUAGUCUGAGUCUAACCUAAUUUAUUUCUAUUGAUAAGACUUUUCAUCUCUAGGUGGCAAUGACCAUUAAAAUUCCCACAAUAACUUGAAACUUUGUCUUCCUAUUAAGUGAUAGGAGAUAGGGAAUAAAGCUCCCUGCCCCCCGUUCUUAAGUGAGUUGAGCAAAGGGAUAAUCCUCUGCAGAAUAUUAAUAUAGGUAAAUGUAGCUAAAAUUAAGCAGCUACUUUCACAAAUAGGUUAGCCAUCUCCACUGCGCUGCAUAUAGCACUGAAGUUUCUAAAAGACUCUUGCAAUAUUGUGUCAGAGGCAGAAACAAAAUGUCUGAUCAGAUCAGGUGAAUUACAUUUGAUAUUAUUUUCCCUCACAGGAAGGAACAUUUCAGCUUGGAGACAUGACUCAUUCUGCCUUGGAGACGUUCAGUGUAAUUGUUAACCUUCAAUUCCAGGGUGCAAUCUACUCUCGCUUAUCUAGGUCAGGAAUGGAGGCAGAGGUGGGGAACAGGUGCUAUGUCUGGAAGACCAUUCCUUCUGCUGUGAAUCUAAAGAGACUGUCUUCCUGAUUCAGAUCUUGUAGUUAUGUGGGCAAGCACGCAAACUUUAUUUCCGGAGAGAAACUUCACCGCCUUACAAUCGUGCUGCGAAUUCGCCCCUGCACCUGGGCCCUAGGCUUCAGGAAAGGCCGAGGGAAGCAGGAGGGACAUCGCGGCGGCAGCGCGGUGCGGCGGGGCGAGGCAGGCCCGGG